GAUAUUAACUUCAUCCGCUUGGAAACGUUGUCUCCCAUUGCUACGGCGGCUCGGCAGGAACACUAGUAGUCGGCAGCGCUGUGAGGGAUGGGAGUGGGGAUAUUUCAUUCCUGGGAUGCCGGAGUACUCAGAGAGAACCCAUGCAUGCACAAGGAGAACAUGCAAACUCGAUGCAGAAAAACCCCAAGCCAGCAUUCAAACCCAGGACCUCCUUGCUGCACGGCAAAAGUGUUUUAUGCAGACAGCUCAGCAGGAGGAGAAACCACAGUUUUCAUGCAGUUUCCUAAAAGCUUCCAGUGAUCUUCUUCACCCUCUUCUCCUGUCAUCAUCUACUCCACUGUCGCAUCUUCUACUUUACAUAAAAAUUUGGUGACGAUUCAACAGUCAAGAUCCUGGUUCUGCCUGCUACCAACCUUUUUCCACCAGUAGGAGCCGUAGGAGCUGAAGGAUCAGGGUGGACAGGUGUUUCGCAGGUUGUCAUCAGCUGGAGGACUAUAAGAGGGUGGCGAGCCAGUACUUCGAUGCCUGAGAGUUUUGCCUCUUCGUGGUACCCAAGUCUCGCUCCAAAUUAAGAGACCUCUCAGGAGACCCGUCUAACAGGGCGUGGACUCUGGAUCUCUUGUUUCCCGCUGGCUGCCGGAUUGGAUGGUUCUUCACAGCUUCAGGCGAACCCUGUCCACCCUCCUCCGUUCCUCCCAAGAAUGCCCAGCUCCGGCGGCUCAGCAUAACCUGCUGCCUCCUCCAGGAUCACAAUCUCUCUCCCUGGCGGACCUACCCCAAC